rnacentral:rRNA from 1 species
UAAUACGUAGGGGGCGAGCGUUGUCCGGAAUUAUUGGGCGUAAAGAGCUCGUAGGCGGUUCGGCAAGUCGGAAGUGAAAUCUCCAGGCUCAACCUGGAGCAGCCUUUCGAUACUGCCGUGACUAGAAUCCGGUAGAGGAGUGUGGAAUUCCCGGUGUAGCGGUGAAAUGCGCAGAGAUCGGGAGGAACACCAGUAGCGAAGGCGGCACUCUGGGCCGGUAUUGACGCUGAGGAGCGAAAGCGUGGGGAGCGAACAGG